CCGCAUAAUAACCCAUUAGGAUAGCCUAAACCAAAGUCCACCGGGUUUCCUCGAAACCCAAACGGACAUUCACGUUGUAUGCAUUGAUUUGGAGAAAUAAAUGCCUUUACUAAUUAUUGAUUUAAAUAGUCGAGUCCGGUGGGGUAAGGGCCUAACUCUUUGUUUUACAGGAAAUGAGCCACGAGGUCCCCAGGUUUGGUAUGGUAUCAAACAUUCAUCCAAAAUUGCUAAGUUGGUGGGACGAUUUGCAUGGUAGUGAUUGGGUUGUCGUCCACAAACACUUAGGAAAUCUUCCUUCACUUCUGGAAGUUAGGCCAGAUAACAAGAUUGUGGAAGCUGCUACUACGUUUUGGGAUAGUGAAUGGUCUGUCUUCCGCUU
rnacentral:lncRNA from 1 species